GACGAACGCUGGCGGCGUGCCUAAUACAUGCAAGUAGAACGCUGAAGGACGAGCUUGCUUCUCUGUAUGAGUUGCGAACGGGUGAGUAACGCGUAGGGAACCUGCCUGUUAGCGGGGGAUAACUAUUGGAAACGAUAGCUAAUACCGCAUAAGAGUAGAUGUUGCAUUACAUUUGCUUAAAAGGUGCAAUUGCAUCACUACCAGAUGGACCUGCGUUGUAUUGGCUAGUUGGUGGGGUAACGGCUUACGAAGGCGAGGAUACAUAGCCCACCUGAGAGGGGGGUCAGCCACACUGGGACUGUGACCCGGCCCAGACGGCUUGGGGAGCGAGCCGUACGGAUUCUUCGGCAAUGGGCGGGAGUCUGACCGAGCAACGCCGAAUGAGUGAGGAGGGUUUUCGGGUCGUAAAGCUCUGUUGUAAGAGAAGAACGAGUGUGAGAGUGGAAAGAUCACAAUGUGACGGUAUCUUAACAGAAAGGGCCGGCUAACUACGUG
rnacentral:rRNA from 1 species